UAAUACGUAGGGGGCAAGCGUUGUCCGGAUUUACUGGGCGUAAAGAGCGUGUAGGCGGCCAAACAGGUCCGUUGUGAAAACUGGAGGCUUAACCUCCAGACGUCGACGGAAACCGUGUGGCUAGAGUCCGGAAGAGGAGAGUGGAAUUCCUGGUGUAGCGGUGAAAUGCGCAGAUAUCAGGAAGAACACCAAUGGCGAAGGCAGCUCUCUGGGACGGUACUGACGCUGAGACGCGAAAGCGUGGGGAGCGAACAGGAUUAGAUACCCUGGUAGUCCACGCCGUAAACGAUGGAUGCUAGCCGUUGGGGGGUUUACCCUUCAGUGGCGCAGCUAACGCAUUAAGCAUCCCGCCUGGGGAGUACGGUCGCAAGAUUA
rnacentral:rRNA from 1 species